GUGGGGAAUAUUGGGCAAUGGGCGAAAGCCUGACCCAGCAACGCCGCGUGAAGGAAGAAGGUUUUCGGAUCGUAAACUUCUAUCCUUGGUGAAGAUAAUGACGGUAGCCAAGAAGGAAGCCCCGGCUAACUACGUGCCAGCAGCCGCGGUAAUACGUAGGGGGCAAGCGUUGUCCGGAAUGAUUGGGCGUAAAGGGCGCGUAGGCGGCCUGGUAAGUCUGAAGUGAAAGUCCUGCUUUUAAGGUGGGAAUUGCUUUGGAUACUGUCGGGCUUGAGUGCAGGAGAGGUAAGCGGAAUUCCCGGUGUAGCGGUGAAAUGCGUAGAGAUCGGGAGGAACACCAGUGGCGAAGGCGGCUUACUGGACUGUAACUGACGCUGAGGCGCGAAAGUGUGGGGAGCAAACAGGAUUAGAUACCCUGGUAGUCC
rnacentral:rRNA from 1 species